CCUACGGGGUGCUGCAGUGAGGAAUAUUGGUCAAUGGACGAGAGUCUGAACGAGCCAAGUAGCGUGAAGGAUGACUGCCCUAUGGGUUGUAAACUUCUUUUAUAAAGGAAUAAAACGAGGCACGUGUGCCUUUUUGCAUGUACUUUAUGAAUAAGGAUCGGCUAACUCAGUGCCAGCAGCCGCGGUAAUACGGAGGAUCCGAGCGUUAUCCGGAUUUAUUUGGUGUAAAGGGAGCGUAGAUGGGUUGUUAAGUCAGUUGUGAAAGUUUGCGGCUCAACCGUAAAAUUGCAAUUGAUACUGGCAGUCUUGAGUACAGUUGAGGUAGGCGGAAUUCGUGGUGUAGCGGUGAAAUGCUUAGAUAUCACGAAGAACCCCGAUGGCGAAGGCAGCUUACUAAACUGUGACUGACAUUGAUGCUCGAAAGUAUGGGUAUCAAACAGGAUUAGAUACCCGGGUAGUC
rnacentral:rRNA from 1 species